GAUGAACGCUGGCGGCGUGCCUAAUACAUGCAAGUCGAGCGAACAGACGAGGAGCUUGCUCCUCUGACGUUAGCGGCGGACGGGUGAGUAACACGUGGAUAACCUACCUAUAAGACUGGGAUAACUUCGGGAAACCGGAGCUAAUACCGGAUAAUAUAUUGAACCGCAUGGUUCAAUAGUGAAAGACGGUUUUGCUGUCACUUAUAGAUGGAUCCGCGCCGCAUUAGCUAGUUGGUAAGGUAACGGCUUACCAAGGCAACGAUGCGUAGCCGACCUGAGAGGGUGUACGGCCACUGUGGAGCUGAGACACGGUCCAGACUCCUACGGGAGGCAGCAGUAGGGAAUCUUCCGCAAUGGGCGAAAGCUUGACGGAGCAACGCCGCGUGAGUGAUGAAGGUCUUCGGAUCGUAAAACUCUGUUAUUAGGGAAGAACAAAUGUGUAAGUAACUAUGCACGUCUGGACGGUACCUAAUCAGAAAGCCACGGCUAACUACGU
rnacentral:rRNA from 1 species